rnacentral:rRNA from 1 species
GACGAACGCUGGGGCUUGCUUCACACAUGCAAGUCGCACGGAAAGGCCUCUUUCGGGGGGUACUCGAGUGGCGAACGGGUGAGUAACACGUGAGUAACCUGCCCUUGACUUUGGGAUAACUUCAGGAAACUGGGGCUAAUACCGGAUAGGAGCUCCUGCUGCAUGGGGGGGGUUGGAAAGUUUCGGCGGUUGGGGAUGGACUCGCGGCUUAUCAGCUUGUUGGUGGGGUAGUGGCUUACCAAGGCUUUGACGGGUAGCCGGCCUGAGAGGGUGACCGGCCACAUUGGGACUGAGAUACGGCCCAGACUCCUACGGGAGGCAGCAGUGGGGAAUAUUGCACAAUGGGUGGAAGCCUGAUGCAGCAACGCCGUGUGCGGGAUGACGGCCUUCGGGUUGUAAACCGCUUUCGCUCAUGACGAAGCUUUGUGUGACGGUAGUGGGUAAAGAAGCACCGGCUAACUACGUG